ACACACAACUAAGUGUGUGUUCUGGUCGACCAUCAGAGGAAAGAAAAAAAAGGGUUUCAAGAACCCUAACACCAACUUGGUCAAUUGGAGGAAAAAUUAAGGGCUAAUCACUCCAUGAUUAUGAAAUUGUAAUGUACUCUACUAUCUCAUCACUAGUUGAUCCUAUCAAGCUAGGUGAAAGCUUGGACGAAGUGGGUCAAACGAGCUAAUGGAGUGCGAGACUUCUAAAUGGCAAAUAAAGGCGACUCGUUUGAUAAUGCGGAUGAUAAGGUCGGGGGCUAUACACGACCUAAAGGAAGAUCUAAGGCGAACCUAGUAAGCUUCCGGAUGAAGAUCAAGCAUGGACAAGAACCGAACACAUGACCGAACAAAGCUUCCGCAUUGAUCUAUUUUGUUUUAUUUAUAAGUGAAUCUUGUAAUCACUUGAUACUACGUUUUGAAUGUUUUAAAUAUGUUUGAAUGUUAACUUGACAAAGUUUUUGAAAAGUAGCAUUUUCGUAUAAAUUGCGUAUAUUUAAUGUUAAAAUCGUGUUAAAUUGA